GCGUUGUCCGGAGUUACUGGGCGUAAAGCGCGCGCAGGCGGUGGCGUAUGCCCGGCGUGAAAGCCCCCGGCUCAACCGGGGAGGGUCGUCGGGGACUGCGUCACUUGAGGUCGGCAGGGGCUGGUGGAAUGCCCGGUGUAGUGGUGAAAUGCGUAGAGAUCGGGCGGAACACCCGUGGCGAAGGCGGCCAGCUGGGCCGUACCUGACGCUGAGGCGCGAAGGCGUG
rnacentral:rRNA from 1 species